GAUGAACGCUGGCGGCGUGCCUAAUACAUGCAAGUCGAGCGAACGGACGAGAAGCUUGCUUCUCUGAUGUUAGCGGCGGACGGGUGAGUAACACGUGGAUAACCUACCUAUAAGACUGGGAUAACUUCGGGAAACCGGAGCUAAUACCGGAUAAUAUUUUGAACCGCAUGGUUCAAAGGUGAAAGACGGUCUUGCUGCCACUUAUAGAUGGAUCCGCGCUGCAUUAGCUAGUUGGUAAGGUAACGGCUUACCAAGGCAACGAUGCAUAGCCGACCUGAGAGGGUGAUCGGCCACACUGGAACUGAGACACGGUCCAGACUCCUACGGGAGGCAGCAGUAGGGAAUCUUCCGCAAUGGGCGAAAGCCUGACGGAGCAACGCCGCGUGAGUGAUGAAGGUCUUCGGAUCGUAAAACUCUGUUAUUAGGGAAGAACAUAUGUGUAAGUAACUGUGCACAUCUUGACGGUACCUAAUCAGAAAGCCACGGCUAACUACGUG
rnacentral:rRNA from 1 species